GUUCCAAGUGGGGUUGUCAGGUCAGCAAUUCCAUUUCUGUCUGGACCUCAAAAAGAAUUUUAAGUGGAGAUAUAAAUUUGAAUACAUUAUGUGUUCCAGUUACUAUCACUAUGUAAGUUUCCCCAAAAUUAAGGGAAAGGAAGAAUCAUUUGAUUAUGCUCAUGGAAUCAGAAUCAGAACACAGAAAAGGCACAGCAGAGAUGACUUGCCUCUGUUCCAUGAUGUUAAGCCACAGCUGGGAGGACUUGAAGAUAUUUCUAAUGCCCUAGAUUAGAAAGUGCAAGACACUUUUCUAUGCAAUCGAGUCACAGACAGAAAAGUUCCUUCUCUCAGAGAGCUUGUAUUCCUUUGAGGGAAGAUACAUCAUAUACAGCAAAAUCGAGAAUCACCAGGGUCUGCAACCAUACAGAAGACCACUAAGCCUCCUCGGAAUCAUCUGAAGAGACAACACAACUUGGCUCGACUCAGAGACCCAUUGUUGACUUGCCAUGUCAGUGCAGACUCGACAAGCUGGGAGCAGCUCGGCACAAGGGGCCUUUGUGUCUUUUCUAGUGGCGCCUGGUCAAAGGACGGGGCCACAGCAAUGGGCAUUGCAUGCCGUAUCUCAAUGCUCAUGAGAACUAUGGAAAUAAGUGAAGCGCACUCAAAUGAGAACAAGAAGAGGUUCUUUAUUCAGAACUUUCCCUUGCAAAGGGGGUCGGCCACCAUCACUCGUGUUUGGCAGCAGCUCGAAGAGAGGGGGCAGAGCUUUCCAGUGGAAGAAGGAAUGGCCUCAGGUGUCUACUGGCCAGUGAAAUACAGGACAUAAAUGAAAUAUACGACAGUGUUCUGGAGACAAGGAUUUGGAAGUUAUAGUUGUGUAAGUGCCAGUGAAAGCUUGGGGGAUGAUGAUCUCACCAAGUGUUUAUGUCUGCAAUGAGAAAAGAAGACUGAAGUCUGACUCUGCAAGGAAAUACUAGUAAUUAAGAGGCAAGUCAGGAUGAGCCUGUGAAGGAAAGACAUGACCAACUUAUCCAGUGCUCCAAGGUGGCCUGGAGCCAGGUUUCCGGGUUAAGCCAUGAGUCAGCCAACGGUGGCUUCAGUGAAAACAGCUUCAGGUGUCAUAGCCACGUGGAAGAGAAUGGAGAUUUAACACCAGGGGUGGUGAUUGUACAUGUAUAAAAAAAAAAAACCUGCACCCUAUAACCUCUACCCAAGUCCCUUCUUGGAAACCUAGAAAAUAAAACCCAAAUAUAGUUUUACCUGGGCCUUGAGAAGGAAACACAUGUACAAGAAGCCAAAACUCACCUUGCAUCUCUCAGAUAAAGGACUUGCCGUCUAACGUCGACUUUGCUUAAUGGCGCUAAUCUGCUUCAUUAACAAGAAGAUCAGUCCUGCUGGCCAAAGAGGUUAAAUCAGUUUACUUUAAAUGCCAUUGCCCGAAUUUGGACCUGGUCACGUGGAUGAGCCCAAAUCAGGUGCCCGCUUUUGUUGCCCCCAAAUGAGCAAUCUCUUGGUUGGCCUCCAACUGCCUGGAAAUUCAAAUGGUUUUUCUGAAGAUUUGACACUGACUCUAGUAUCAUUUAAUAAUUUUUAUGAACACCUUAACCACAAAAUUGAGAGAAUUAAGCAAUGAAUGAUGCCAGGAUGGCCGGACUGCUAACAUCCCAGAAGAAUGAACUAAAAUUACAAGGGACGGAGCCCAAUUACAUAAACAAUCUACUCAAAACACAGAGAAGCUCAAGAGAAACUUAGAUUAAAAUUAUACAUUCUUACCUGGUUUAUUCCACCUCCUCUUUGUGAAGGAGAAUGAUAAUCAUCGUUUUUAUGACUUAUUGCCAGUGGAUUUAUUUGCUCAUGUUGGUCACAGUCAUAGUGGAUAAUAGUGUGCUUCUAUGUAAAGCACAGAUCAAAUCUUCUGGUCAAAAAUUUGAAGGGCAUUCAGUUAGAGCAAAGCAAAUCAGUAUUAAGUGGUUAAAAUAGGAUGGAAUUCAGCAAAGAGUGGUAGAUAAAUACUAGUGGCCCAAACAAGAUAGCGUUUCUCACUCAUGUAAAAUCUACAAGUGAGUUGCCCGGUACUGGGAUGGCCGCUCUGUGGUGAUGAAACCCAGACCCCUCGUGUCCUGUUGCUCCCCCAACUUCAACCUGUGGCUUCUACUUACAAUCCCGGAUGUCUGCUCAAUUCCCACUCACUAGGUUUACAUUCCAGCUGAAGAAAGAAAGAAAGGAACAGAAGCACACGCCCUCCCUUUUACAUCUUUGACACGCACGCACAUUUGUGUGUGCAUGUUUGUGUGUGUGUGAGAAUACAUAACAAAAUUUAUCAUUCUAACCAUUUUAUGUGAACAGUUCAGUGGCAUAAGUACAAUCACAUUGUUCUCCAACCAUCACCACCAUCCACUACCAUAACUUUUUCAUGUUCCCAAACUGAAAGUCUGUACCCAUUAAUCAAUGAACAUUCCACUUCCUCCUCUUCCCUCAGCCCUUGGUAACCUCUAUUUUGCUUUCUGUCUCCAUGAAUUUGACUACUUUAACGUACCUCACAUAAGUGGAAUCAUACAAUAUCUGUCCUUUUGUGACUGGCUUAUUUCAUUUAGCAUGUCCAUUCAUCUAUUGAGCAAUUGGGGUGCUUCAAUCUUUCUAUUGUAAAUAAUGCUGCUAUA